CAUCGAGUCUUUGAACGCACAUUGCGCCCAUUGGUAUUCCAUUGGGCAUGUCUGUUUGAGCGUCAUUACAACCCUCGGUCACCACCGGUUUUGAGCGAGCAGGGUCUCAGGAUCCAGCUGGCUUUAAAGUUGUAAGCUCUGCUGGCUGCCCGGCCCAACCAGAACAUAGUAAAAUCAUGCUUGUUCAAGGUUCGCGGUCGAAGCGGUACGGCCUGAACAAUACCUACCACCUCUCAGGUUUGACCUCAGAUCAGACAAGGAUACCCGCUGAACUUAAGCAUAUCAAUAAGCGGAGGAAAAGAAACCAACAGGGAUUGCCUCAGUAACGGCGAGUGAAGCGACAAAAGCUCAAAUUUGAAAUCUGGAGCCUUCGGCUUCCGAGUUGUAAUUUGAAGAGGGUGUUUCGGUUGCAGCCUUGGCCUAAGUUCCUUGGAACAGGACGUCAUGGAGGGUGAGAAUCCCGUACAUGGCUGAAGGCUUGCUUCCAUGUGAAACCCCUUCGAAGAGUCGAGUUGUUUGGGAAUGCAGCUCAAAAUGGGUGGUAAAUUUCAUCUAAAGCUAAAUAUUGGCGGGAGACCGAUAGCGCACAAGUAGAGUGAUCGAAAGAUGAAAAGCACUUUGAAAAGAGAGUUAAACAGUACGUGAAAUUGUUGAAAGGGAAGCGCUUGCAAUCAGACUCGCUUUCGGUUGAUCAGCGACGCCUUCUGGCGCGUGCACUCUGCCGUUUGCGGGCCAGCAUCAGUUGGAGCGGUGGGACAAAGACGGCAGGAAUGUGGCUCCCCUCGGGGAGUGUUAUAGCCUGUCGUGCCAUGCCACCAGCA
rnacentral:rRNA from 1 species